AAAAAAAGCAGGGUUAAAAAAGAAGGACAGCGCGAGAGCAGAAAAGAGAGACAGGUAUCCUGUCUAAUAUGAAUAUGAAGUGAACGCUCUACCGACUGAACUACCAAUCCCCCAAAGAAGACAACCCUUUGCAUGACUUUAUUAAUUAUAUCAAGCAUAUUGUAUCUAGUAAACACCUUUUGAGCAUUCUGUCCCGAAAAAUGAUAUAUAUUUGUAGUUUAGAAAUUUAGCUCUAAAUAUCGUCCCUCAAAGGCACCGGAUUUUAAUGUAUUUAGAGACUUUACUAUAUAUAUAAUAUAAUAUACUAUAUAAGAAUGUUUUCUCUUUCUUUAUAGAUUGCGUACAAUGAGAGCGAGAGAUGUUAUCUUUCAAUACAUGAGAUAAAAAGAAGAAAGCAAAACCUCUUACUGCGUUGUUAUUGUUUUUCUGUCAAAAAUUUGAAGCUGUUUUAUAAAUCUUGAUAAAGUUAAUAAAUUGUUUUCGUUUCUGUAGAUUGUUUGUUUUUGUUUAUUGUUUCCCGUGAGUUCUAUAAUAGCCAUCAAACAAUCAAAUUGAUUCUGACAGGAUUCGAACCUGCAUUUCCCUGUUAACAGGGCAUCCUACCAAUUGGAUGACUGAAUCAACUAAGAAGCAAGAAAUGUGUGGACCAACUACAAUUAUUUUGAGCCAAUAAAAAAGAUGAUGAUGAAGGGAACAUGUGUUUAAAAUUUUUUGACAAAAGCCUAAACAAUUUGGCAGAUACAGCCCGUCAAUGACAGCUGUAGCUGUUGAAACGCAGCCUAGAAUAAAUUCACUUGUUCAUUACAAGAUAAUAUCUAUAUUAUUCAAUAACUAAUAGUUAGGCCGUCAUCAAAAAUAUGUUGUGUUCGCGUCCUCCGACCGACUCCCUUUUGGUAAUAAAAACCUGAGUCGUUAACUUGGACAAAGACCCGGAAAAAAUUUCGCAAGAUAUUUUUCAAAAAUAAUUUUUUUUUCGCCAGAACUAAUUUAUGCAAAAUUGACAAAAACUCGUGAAAAUUAAUUUCAGUAAAAAUUAAUUCCUUUAGGGUACUCCUGUGGCUACUGACAGUUUACAGGGCGGCGAAAAAUGGUCUACAAACGAUGUCGAGUGGCGCUAUACUGUCUUGGCCCUGAGAACGAAUUUUGCUCCGAUCUGAAAAUCCUGGGAAAAAAUACGUCCGGUCGCCCGACUGACUCAUUGCAGGGUCUUCAGGACGCGAACACAACAUAUUUUUGAUGGUGUCCUUAUUCAAUAACUAAUAGUUAGCUGAUAAUAUGUAUACAUAGCUAUAUUUAUAUGAUUGUAUAUACGCCAUUUAAAAGACGAAAAAAACUUUACAUCAACUACA